rnacentral:rRNA from 1 species
GCAUAUCAAAUAAGCGGAGG